UUCAUUAGGUGAGGAGCUUUGCUGCCAGAUGAUGGUAAACACAACUAAUGAACACCCUAUACUCUUCGGCAAAUAGUCUCCGUUCUUUUGUAUGUUGAUUCAGGGAGCGAAGUUGGGCGAGUCCGCAACAUCGCAAACAAACUAAUGGAUUGACGUAGCUAUGUGCCAGCAUGGAUAUAUUACCUAGGUUGACGUAGCUAUGUGCCAGUGAUAUGAUGUGAGUUUUUGCUACUUUGUGAUUUCCCGAUAUCAAGAAGUCACCUCGUAAGUCGCAACCAUUCUUCUUUUAGACAAACCUUUGCGGUUCCAAAUCUCAGUAUCGGUCUGCCGGAAAUUGUUCGAGUUGCUCGGAAUUUCUCUGCUAUGAUCAGAGUUGAGGGCCCGGUGAGCUUAUUUCAACUUCACACUCCCCCUUUCUAUGCUAACCCAUAUUUUAAACCUAAAUUCAACAGGUACUAAAAGGGUUAAAGAUGAGAAAACAUUCUUUCCAUCAUUACAUCCAUGAGAGUAUCAUCUCAUGACCAAGUUCCAGCUUUGACAUGGCAUUGGAGGAGGGAACUAGUAAGUGAAAAUGAAUGUUGCGGACUAGAACAGUGCAAGGAGAUGCUACAGGAAUCCCUGUAACUGAGAAUAGGGAAUAGUGGAAGUCUUCUUCAUCUGGGCUUUAAAUCGAACUUGAGAAGUUCUAGAGUACUUAUGGCAUCCAUGGCUGCUUUAAAAGGGUACAAUAUACGC